GACCCUGUAGCCCAAUGGAUAGCGCGUUGGACUUCUAAUCCAAAGGUCGUGGGUUCGAAUCUCACCUGGGAUGGCCU
rnacentral:tRNA from 1 species